rnacentral:rRNA from 2 species
UGGGGAAUAUUGCACAAUGGGCGAAAGCCUGAUGCAGCAACGCCGCGUGAGUGAUGAAGGCCUUCGGGUUGUAAAGCUCUGUCUUCUGGGACGAUAAUGACGGUACCAGAGGAGGAAGCCACGGCUAACUACGUGCCAGCAGCCGCGGUAAUACGUAGGUGGCAAGCGUUGUCCGGAUUUACUGGGCGUAAAGGAUGCGUAGGCGGAUAUUUAAGUGAGAUGUGAAAAUCCCGGGCUUAACUUGGGAACUGCAUUUCAAACUGGGUAUCUAGAGUGCAGGAGAGGAAAGCGGAAUUCCUAGUGUAGCGGUGAAAUGCGUAGAGAUUAGGAAGAACACCAGUGGCGAAGGCGGCUUUCUGGACUGUAACUGACGCUGAGGCAUGAAAGCGUGGGGAGCAAACAGG